GAUCCCGGCUCAGGAUGAACGCUAGCGACAGGCUUAACACAUGCAAGUCGAGGGGCAUCAUGAGGUAGCAAUAUCUAUGGUGGCGACCGGCGCACGGGUGCGUAACGCGUAUGCAACCUACCUUUAACAGGGGGAUAACACUGAGAAAUUGGUACUAAUACCCCAUAAUAUCAUAGAAGGCAUCUUUUAUGGUUGAAAAUUCCGAUGGUUAGAGAUGGGCAUGCGUUGUAUUAG
rnacentral:rRNA from 1 species